CUGAGUUGAUGGAGGAGUCCCGGUUUUUGCUAGAGGAGGCUCUUCUACAGGAGUUGAAGGAUUUUUCUUAUUGAAUCUGUAUUAUUCUUGGGCUUUGAUUUCCCAUUUGUAUUUUUCAUAGUCUAAAUAGAUUUUUUUUUGUUUGAUAUUCUUUUGUUGGAUCUAAUAUUUACUGAUGCUAUUUAGACUAUGAAAAAUACAAAUGGGAAAUCAAAGCCCAAGAAUAAU
rnacentral:misc_RNA from 1 species